CAAGUUUCCGGUAAUGGAUUCUGCCUGGCCAUGGUGGCCGAACCGCUUCGCAGGAUGAAGCUGAUGACUCCUACUCAACU
rfam:Rhizobium sp. MH17 C775, whole genome shotgun sequence.